UACGUAGGUGGCAAGCGUUGUCCGGAUUUAUUGGGUUUAAAGGGUGCGUAGGCGGUUUUCUAAGUCGGCAGUGAAAUACGGCAGCUCAACUGUCGAGGUGCUGUUGAUACUGGGGAACUUGAGUACUGAUGAGGUAGGCGGAAUGGACGGUGUAGCGGUGAAAUGCUUAGAGAUCGUCCAGAACACCGAUAGCGAAGGCAGCUUACUAAGGAGUAACUGACGCUGAGGCACGAAAGUGUGGGGAUCAAACAGG
rnacentral:rRNA from 1 species